rnacentral:rRNA from 1 species
GACUCUCGACAACAAAUAUCUCGACUCUCGCAUCGAUGAAGAAGGUAGCGAAAUGUGAUGCUUGGUGUGAAUUGCAGAAUCCCGUGAACCAUCGAGUCUUUGAAUGCAAGUUGCGCCCGAAGCCAUUUGGCCGAGGGCACGUCUGCCUUGGCGUCA